rnacentral:lncRNA from 1 species
AUUCUGUCCUGGGACACUCGGGGGAAGCUGUAGCCUGAAUCGUGGAAAUGAGGAGUGGGGAGAGGCUCAUGUUCUCCCGGCUUGUAGGCGGUACCCUGGAGGCUGUGGAGCCUUUAGAAGGAAAGGAGCUAUCGUGAGCACAAGUAACAAAAUGAAGUGAGAGAGACUCUGACUCAGCAACACCGAGAGGAACGCCCGUGUAAUCAACAUCUCUGUGACCAGAGAGAACCCCGCCUUUCCUGGGGGAAAAUGCUCCACUGAGGCAGCAGCCGGGCCAGCUGCUCUGACACCAUCUUUUGGCUAAAGAAGGACACAUAUUUGAGAAAUCAAAACUUUCAGGCAGGACGACACAAUACUUGAAAACUGCAUCAAAACAUUUAUCUAGUCAUUCAAGAAGGGAGAAGCCAGGCAGAUAACACAUAAGAGAAAAGGCCGAGAAGGAAAGACCAUCUCAUGGUGCUGCCUUUCAUACGGACUCUUGGGCAAUACAAAUCUGUGAGAGUCAGUGUGAUAUGGUUCCUUUGCAUCUUCUGCCAAUUUUCACUUCAGUUUUCAAAAAAAAAAAAUGCUGGGUUAUGAAAACAAAACUACUGUUAGCCAGAGACGUUUUUAAUAUCUCUGAAACUCAAGCAGUUUGGUGAGGAACUCCAAGACAAGUUCUAGACUACCUUAAUCAACAGAAAUGAAAAUAUAAAAAUGUAUUUUAAAAUUAAA